rnacentral:piRNA from 1 species
UGCGGUUUGUCUCAUGGUCCUGGCA